rnacentral:rRNA from 1 species
GAUGAACGCUAGCGGCAGGCUUAAUACAUGCAAGUCAAGGGGGUAGCAAUACAACCGGCGCACGGGUGAGUAACGCGUACACAACAUACCAUAUACUGGAGUAUAGCUUUGGGAAACUGAAGGUAAUCCUCCAUAACAUUGCGAGAGGGCAUCUGAUUGCAAUUAAAGUUUCGGCGGUAUAUGAUUGGUGUGCGUUUGAUUAGCUAGUUGGUAGGGUAACGGCCUACCAAGGCGACGAUCAAUAGCUGGCGUGAGAGCGCGACCAGCCACACUGGAACUGAGACACGGUCCAGACUCCUACGGGAGGCAGCAGUAGGGAAUAUUGGACAAUGGAGGAAACUCUGAUCCAGCCAUGCCGCGUGAUAGAUGAAGGCCCUCUGGGUUGUAAAUAUCUUUUAUCUGGGAAGAAACACCCCUAUUCUUAGGAACUUGACGGUACCAGAGGAAUAAGCACCGGCUAACUCCGUGCCAGCAGCCGCGGUAAU